rnacentral:rRNA from 1 species
CAUGCUAAAAACCCCGACUUCGGAAGGGGUGUAUUUAUUAGAUAAAAAACCAAUGCCCUUCGGGGCUCCUUGGUGAUUCAUAAUAACUUAACGAAUCGCAUGGCCUUGUGCCGGCGAUGGUUCAUUCAAAUUUCUGCCCUAUCAACUUUCGAUUGUAGUGUAGUGGACUACAAUGGUUUCAACGGGUAACGGGGAAUUAGGGUUCUAUUCCGGAGAGGGAGCCUGAGAAACGGCUACCACAUCCAAGGAAGGCAGCAGGCGCGCAAAUUACCCAAUCCCGACACGGGGAGGUAGUGACAAUAAAUACUGAUACAGGGCUCUUUUGGGUCUUGUAAUUGGAAUGAGUACAAUUUAAAUCCCUUAACGAGGAACAAUUGGAGGGCAAGUCUGGUGCCAGCAGCCGCGGUAAUUCCAGCUCCAAUAGCGUAUAUUAAAGUUGUUGCAGUUAAAAAGCUCGUAGUUGAACCUUGGGCCUGGCUGGCCGGUCCGCCUCACCGCGUGCACUGGUCCGGCCGGGUCUUUCCUUCUGGGGAGCCGCAUGCCCUUCACUGGGUGUGU